rnacentral:rRNA from 1 species
GCUGUUAAGGGUUCGUAGUUGAAUUGAGGGCUGCCAAGUAGACGAUCCAGUCCCGCACCUUUCAAGGUCGGCGACUCUCGCUCUUGCUGCUCGUGAACGACAGAAACAAAGACUACGGGACGCUUUCCUCGCAACAUCAAUUCGCAUGCAAUGUAUGCAGUGUGUGAGGAUGCCCGUAUUCUUACUGUGACUAAAAAAGCGUGACCAAAGCAGUCAUUCGACAUGAAUUUCAAAGCUGGGAUAACAAAGCAGCAACCUACGGGCUACCGUUCUGGCUUUUGUUGGUAUUAGAGGUCUGUGGGGACUAUGGGUCCGCAUGACAAGCGGUCGGGAGGCACUUGUGCUUUUCCCUACGCCUCCGCUGAGGUUGCGCUCCGGUGCGCCUUUUCCGGUUUGCGGUGCCCAGGAAUGAAGGGGGUUGUUCGGGGGAGAACGUACUUCAACGUGAGAGGUGAAAUUCUUAGACCGUUGAAGACGAACUACAGCGAAGGCAUUCUCCAAGGAUACCUUCCUCAAUCAAGAACUAAAGUG